rnacentral:tRNA from 1 species
CCAUCAUAGCUCAGAGGUUAGAGCAUCGCAUUUGUAAUGCGAUGGUCAUCGGUUCGACACUAUCGAAUGCGAUGGU